GAUCGGCCUCGUCUCAAAAACACUAUGCAUUAGACGUACAUCCUAGGUAGUCGUGGAAGCCAUUAUUCCGCACCCUAUAUAUUGCACUUAUAUAGAUAGUAGGGUGUUGUUUGAGAUUUAGCCCACUUCACUUAGUGGGGCUGCUGCAACUGUCUGUAACAGCAACAACACACACACUGUUUACCAGCGUCUUCAGCACGUAACGAGUUUGUGCGGAUGAAAGUUAAAUCGAUAUGUGUGCUGACGAACGGAAAACAGCAAGCUUUUCGUGGACAAAAACACGGUUUCCAGUUGUCAUCUGUCGUAAUCAUGUUUCUGCCUUUUUAUUUUUAUUUUUUAUGUCUGUGAUGAAAUGGAAGGUUCGGAGGCCAGAUCGCUUUGUGGUGCUUGUAGACACAACACACCGCUUGAUUCGUGUCUUCACAACGUCGGUUGACAACCCAGUUGACUUGACUUAAUCAAUGCACAGACAAAUAUCGGUAUCUUCUGCCUUUAAUUCCCACUGCCCUGGAACAGCUACAGGCCACCUGGAUCUUCACCAAGCUGCAUGUCUGCAGUACAUACAUCCUAGUACAACCCCAAUUCCAAAAAGGAAAGUCAAGGAUGUAGAAAAUUGAUCAAGUUUACUCAUUGGGAGCUCGUUGGUUUUAAUUACUUUCCACUUCCGCUCGAGGCAUUUUUCAAUCAUCGUCUGCGACACAUUUCAUCAACUGCCGUUUUCCCAAAGGAGAUAAUGAUUGCAGGUUUAAUCCAUGCACUGUGGGGGCCACUUGCUCUGGCUAUGUGGAUAUAAUGAGUGGAGACAAGAAAGCUCUACAGGAAGCCAUGGCCACCAUUGGACCCAUUUCUGUUGCCAUAGAUUCAGGCCACACCUCCUUCCAGUUCUAUGAAACUGGUGCGUCUCACAUUGAAAAUCAUAAAUCAAUCCUGUGUUACCAGUUGGUAGUUGCUAAUGCUACCAGAACAAUCUGAAUCUGAAUGCUGUUAUGUAGUGGUUCACUUUUAUUUGGCAUAAUCUUUGGUCCAUUCAUUUACUGAUUAAAAUAUUUAAUAAUUUAUUCCAUAAUGUCGGAAUAAUUGACCACUAUCUGAUUGAUUAAAGGCAUCUACGAUGAGCCAGAGUCCACUGGACUCAUAUAAACACUCUGGGUGUUAAUUCAACACUAGCUUUUUUACUGUGCAGGUAAAAAAAAAAAGAAAAAAAAAGAAAAAAAGAAAGAAAUACUUGUGGUAUGUUGAGGUUCAAAGGAACUAUCUUGAAUAUGUUUCAUGUACUGUAGCCUACAACAAUAAUAAAUAACUAUUAUUAUUACUAUUAUUAUUAUUAUUAUUAGUAGUAGUAGUAGUAGUAGUAGUAGUAGUAGUAGUAGUAUCCAAGGCUCGAUUUUGGCUAUACCUUUUCAUUUCUAAAUUAAAAUAUCUAAACCAUGAGUUAAUUAUUUCUAUUUGCAAUAACUGUGUUAGUUUUAAAUUAUAUGACUUAAGAUAGAAUCAAGCAAGAUUAAGCCAGUGUGCCACAUUAACCACAAAAUUUCUCCCGAAAUUUACAUUUACUUUAUAGCUGGGGUCUCGACUGGGGUAACAAAGGCUACACAAUGAUGUCAAUGGACAAGCAUAACCAGUGUGGUACUGCCACAAAAGCCAGCUAUCCUGUGGUUUAAAGGUGUUACAGAAAUGUCAGUGUGACAGCUAUUAAAAGGCUCUUUUUUAUUUUAAGUGACGAUAAAUGGGAUUCAGUUUCAAAAGAAUAAUAAUAAUAACAAACAAUUUUUAGUAUCAAUAUCUUCUACCUUAACAAUUAUUUCAUAUUAAGUAGAAAACGGCAAUAAUACUGGAACUGUGUUAAUCUGCACUUUGAGGAGUUGGUCAUUUUUAAUUUAGCUUUCCUUUCAUGAUUUGUUAAAAAAUAUGGCAUUCAGUGGUCAGCUGAACUAUUUUCAUUUAAAUAAAAGCAUUUCCACACACACUGUCUUAUUGUUACACACUGUCUUUUGCAGAUGCACUUUACAGCAACGUAUUGCUCGACUCCAAUCAAAUUGUUACCAGUGAUUUAUCUUACAUCUUCACC